rnacentral:rRNA from 1 species
AGUGAACGCUGGCGGCAGGCCUAACACAUGCAAGUCGAACGGAUCCUUCGGGAGUAGUGUCGGCUGGGUGUGUAACCCGUGGGAACGUGCCCUCUGGUUCGGAACAACUCAGGGAAAGUUGUGCUAAUACCGGAUGUGCCCUUCGGGGGAAAAAUUUAUCGCCAUUGGAGCGGCCCGCGUCUGAUUAGCUAGUUGGUGCGGUAAUGGCCCACCAAGGCGACGAUCAGUAGCUGGUCUGAGAGAAUGAUCAGCCACACUGGGACUGAGACACGGCCCAGACUCCUACGGGAGGCAGCAGUGGGGAAUCUUGCGCAAUGGGCGAAAGCCUGACGCAGCCAGGCCGCGUGAAUGAUGAAGGUCGUAGGAUUGUAAAAUGCUUUCAGCGAGGACGAUAAUGACGGUACCCGCAGAAGAAGCUCCGGCUAACUUCGUG